GUCUCUGGAUACAGUUCUCUCCCAGUGCGAGGCUGGCGACUUGGCUCUGCUACACUCUGUGUGGCGGCCCCUCCUCUGGGGCAGAAGGGAAAGAAAAUCCAGAUAAUCGUGGAUAAUCUGCAUCAUAUUCUAUUAUCAUGUUGCCAUAUUCAUUGGCAACUCUGCAAUGAGCGUCCAUGCACGUAAAUAUUCACUCACUUGCCUGACGAUUUGCUCCGGGCAGUUCUCAGACGUCGGACUCUCCAAGCUGGUCUUCGGGGACACCCAGCCCACCGCCCUCCAGAAGGAGCGCACCAGCUUUCCUCCUGAGAGCGUUCCAGGGUGAUGUGUGCUGACAGUAAAACCAGAGGAAAGUCCUGAGUUCAAAGGGGCAGUCUGGGAUAUGACCCUCGACAUUAAGAAGCCACAUGCAGAGGUCCGAGCUGCGUGGGAGGAAGGAACGUCUUCAACACUGAAGGUCAAAGGCACAGUCCGCUAGGAGCAGGCUGAACACGGGGGACCUUUGGCGAAUAAAUGAACUGUAUCUGGACCAUUAUUCAAAUAACGUAAGGAGAGCUGUGUUUGCCCAUGGCCUUGAGAAAUUCCGCUGCAACCCGCGCAGGCAGAGAACAGGCAAGUAAACCCAGCCAGUCACAGCCCCGACGGCAGAACCCUGGAUUUCCUCCCGGUCGCUCAGCCACAGCGCGGCCCCGAAACAGGCAGUCCUGGGACAGACCCACCUGGGACCCGGCUCCACGCCGAGGAGGCAGGUACAGAAUGCUUCCGAAAGUGUUACCUGGAAACAAGCAGGCAUCUUUGCAGGAGGGUGAAUUCUGGAUCCAGCAAGAGGCUCUUUACGUCACUGCAGACGGGAACCCAGACAAGGCAAGAAGGGCAUUUUCAGUGAACAGUAACGCGGGGAGAUGAGUCAAUAUGCUCAGAAACGGACAACUCCGCUCGAAGGGCGUGGAGUUGAACUCACGGGACACGUCCCUCUGCCGUGCCCCUGACCCUACAGAAGCUCCUACAGCCCCGGUUGGAGAAGCCACCCCGGGGCUGCAAGGCUCCGGCUGUGGCCGACGUUCUCACCACACUCCGACUCAGACUCUCGAAAAUACGAACAGCUGCCUAACUAACCACAGGAACGAGAAUGUCACUGCUGAUGAAAUGACUUUGCUAAUCAGCAGGAACAGUAACUCCUUAAAGAAGCUGCAUUCAGAAUUUACUCUUGAAGUUACUCCUGAAAUAAAAUAUUUAAGGAAGAAAGGCUGUGUUUUUAUAUACUGAUAUUUCUAAAAUAGUCAAAUAGAGAAUAUUCGUAAAUUAGGGGGAGGGGGAAGGACAGAUAUUCUUUAAAUGUAUUCUUUUUUAUUGAAACACAAAUGUUAACCUUUAUAUAGAGAAAACAAUCAAGUAAUUAUUUUGAAUCUGACAUCAACAAAGCAUUCUACUAUGGAUAACGUAUGAAGUAUCAUAAUCACAUGUAAAACAAAACUCUGUCAUGUUUCACUCAGAACCCCUUUGCGAUGCCUUUCCUAACGUAUACUUCUAAGUGCUCCUGGCUCAGGUGGCAUAUUGACCUCCUUGCCAGAGCUGUGCAGGCCCUGUGUGGAGUGCCCACUUCGGAGGCAGGAGGCUGGCAGAAGGGACCGCCUGUGUGUGUCCUCACGCAGGCGCGCAGGGGAUUCAUGGUGGGGGCAGGCUGAGCUGGGAGGAUGCUCGCUCCCCAGCGCUGCUCCAGCCCAGACAGGAGGCCAGAGCCAUCGGACACUCAGGCACUUGCUGGAGACAGAGGCUCCGUCAGUGGGACUAUGAAGUAACCACACACAGAUUCCCCAGGGACGCAAGCCUCUGUGGCCCUCUCCUUGGGCCACAGAUGUUUUCUAAAACACAACUUAUUUUCAUC